rnacentral:rRNA from 1 species
CCCUUAGAUGUUCUGGGCCGCACGCGUGCUAAACUGAGUGGAUCAGCGGGUCAGGUUGCGCGAAAGCGUUUCCUAAUCUUUAAAUCCGCUCGUGAUGGGGAUUGACGGUUGCAAUUUUCUGUCAUGAACGAGGAAUACCUUGUAAGCGCGGGUCAUCAUCCCGCGCUGAAUACGUCCCUGCCCUUUGUACACACCGCCCGUCGCUCCUACCGAUUGAGUGGUCCGGUGAGGCUUUGGGAUCUGAGCGGAAAGAGCGUUUCGCUGUUUCUGCUCGGAAAACUCAGUCGAACCUUAUCAUUUAGAGGAAGGAGAAGUCGUAACA